ensembl:lncRNA
CACCGUCUUUCUCCACAGUCUGACAUCAUUCAAAGUAAUAUAACACAAUCCAAUGAAGAAUUUUGGGGAUCAAAUGCCUCACUCAUUCAAAAUGUGGCAGUAAGUGGAAAGUCCCUAGUUGAAGCCACUGAGCCUUUAGUGUUCCAUGUUCAAUCGGGACAGAGUUCCCUAGUAUCAACUGCUCUGCCAGUGAAGAACGGAGGGAAAACGGAUGCAGUUAUGGACACCAUCCUACAGAAUGAAUCAGGAAGUGGUAUCUUAGAGGGUGUCAGUAGUAAAGAUAUCUGUUCUGAAAUUGAAGACUUUGUUCCUGAGAACCUAAAUGAUGGCCCUUCCUUUCCAGUACUCUCAAAACCCAUGUCUUAUGACAUGCAGGAGGACAAACAAGAGAAAGUCAAUGAAUUGCCAACUAGUCCAUUUAAGAAAGACUACAUGGUAAGUCAACUCAGCACCAUCAGUGAAGAGGAAGAAAUAAUGCCUUCUAAUGAACCGACACUUCCUGUAGGACAUCUCCAUCCCACCACUGGAAUUAGAACAGGGACAGAGGAGGGUGCAUCAGAUCCAAACUCAGUGCUCUCACCUGGUAGCGUUCUUCUCCACAGCAUGUACAAGAGUGCAGAUUCAGACCAUUAUCUCACUUGUGUAUCUCAAGAGGAUUUCCCAGUUUCCCCUAACUUAGAGCUCACAAAGAGAGUGAAACCAAGACAUGAUCUAUCGGAGGAAGACACUUCAGAAUCUGAAUCCUUGCCAAACCAUAUCCCUAAUGUUGUGCAACAAGAUGACAUAUCCGCAAAAGGCAUACCAGAAAAGGGCUGUAAGCAAGAUGAGGUCAUAGCAGAAAACAUUAAUCCUUUUCCAGAAGCCUUACCAAAACAAGAAUCUCCUCUGGAUGUUCUACAAAAUAAUUCCUUAUUAGACCUCCUGCCAGAAAUGCAUACCUUUUCCCCCAAAUCAGCCCCCUCACUCAAUACUUCAUCUGAGAACAUGAUAAAGUCAGAUUUUGAUGAAACAGUGCUAAAGUGCAACCCCUCAGGGGACAUUGUUGAGAAAUCCAACUUUCCCAAAGAUAUGUCACCAAUUGUUGUUACUUCAGAAAUGAUAGCAGAACUUGAGGCUCAGCUUGCACCAUUAGAUACAGACACAUGUCUGGUAGAUGAGAGUAAAACCUGCCCAAAAGAUGGAUCCUUUAAUCUGGAACCUUUUGGGAUUGCAUCAGAGAACAACUUGCAUUUAGUCCAGUUGACUGAUUCUAAUGCGUUUGUAUCUAAUUGUUCAUCAGAACAAACCUCCAGUAUCACUCAGGACCUUGUCAUAACUGAUUCUGACCUGAAAAACAUCUUUGUACCCCAGCCAACUGAAAUGCACCUUCUUAGCACUAGCAAAGGUCUGGUUGCAAACCCUGAAUCUGCGGACACCCACAAUGACCCGGACCCAAAUGCUAAACAAACAGAUAGUCUAGACAUAAAUAUUGAUUUUUGGACAACUCCAGCUGUUCGACAUUCUGUGACGCCAGACUUAUUUCCAGUGAACUGGCCUACUUUAUCCCAGCCAGCAGCCUCUUCACCCUUCGACCAGCCAACGCUGGCUUCCAGGCAUGAUCAUAGCCUUAACUUUACAUCAUCUUUGUUCGACCUUUCACCUGUAGCUUCCUCAACACCACAUGUAGCAGUAGACACUAAUGCGCUGCCCCAGCUAUUCCCCUUCUCCACAAUUCCCCGUACCUCAGAGGUGCCACGUCCAAAACCUGCUGCUCCUCUUCCUACUAUGCAGGCUGUGAAUUCUACAGCAUUCAAUCCUUUUCUCCAGGAUAAAACACAGACA